rnacentral:rRNA from 1 species
AGAGAACGCUGGCGGUAGGCCUAUCACAUGCAAGUCGAACGGCAGCACAGAGGAGCUUGCUCCUUGGGUGGCGAGUGGCGGACGGGUGAGGAAUACAUCGGAAUCUACUCUGUCGUGGGGGAUAACGUAGGGAAACUUACGCUAAUACCGCAUACGACCUACGGGUGAAAGCAGGGGACCUACGGGCCUUGCGCGAUUGAAUGAGCCGAUGUCGGAUUAGCUGGUUGGCGGGGUAAAGGCCCACCAAGGCGACGAUCCGUAGCUGGUCUGAGAGGAUGAUCAGCCACACUGGAACUGGGACACGGGCCAGACUCCUACGGGAGGCAGCAGUGGGGAAUAUUGGACAAUGGGCGCAAGCCUGAUCCAGCCAUACCGCGUGGGUGAAGAAGGCCUUCGGGUUGUAAAGCCCUUUUGUUGGGAAAGAAAUCCAGCUGGCUAAUACCCGGUUGGGAUGACGGUACCCAAAGAAUAAGCACCGGCUAACUUCGUGCCAGCAGCCGCCGUAA